rnacentral:lncRNA from 1 species
GGUGUCUUAAAUUCAGACUUUGAAGUCUUUCUUGGCCCCUGUUUCCAGGCCCGCGUCCCACACAAACUGCACACAGAGCCGAGGGGAUCCAGCCAAAACCCCGCGCUCGGCUACCUCAGGCUCUCCACGAAUUCCUGCUCGAACAGAUGGGCUUCAUCCUGUGUCCAAAAGGAGCUGAGAGCAAACGUCAACCCGGCCUCUGCUCUUUGACAUCUUCAUAUUACCGCUCCUGAUGGGUGACUUCUCACUGCACAAAUGGAUCUAAUUAUUACCUCAGGGCUACUAGAUGUCCAGGAGAGUCCGUAUUUCAUGAGGCACCAGGAAACCUCCACAGAGGGCAGCUGAGCAACCUGGCUUCAAAAUUCACCUUCCCUCUGAACACGAUCUUGCUAAAUAGCACUCAAGAGCCAGAGAAAUCUGCAGGGUUUGUCUGUAUCCAGCAGUCUCAAGGAAGGAGCCCUGUUGCUUUCACGACAGUUUACACCUCUCUUUUCUGACUUCCACAAAGACUACUACCACAUCAUCAUAAUUACCAGGUGGCACGGCUGGAGCAGCCACCCAAGCCUCCUAGCUGUGACAGGAAAGGAUGCUGCUGACAAUUUAUGGGCUUGCUUCUUGCAUAAAUACUGGGACGUGACUGACUGAACUGCAUAUUAAAGGAGCUCUCAGCCCUGCUUUAACUCAGCUCAGUUGCUGCAAUAGCCUUUCCAACACCUUGCAGGUGUGGGACCUCUCGUGUGUAGUUUUACCAUAAGGAAACCCCACCAGCUUACUGCAGGCUGUAAGAAUCUGCACAGCAUCAGAACCGGGUACCACAGCUCUGCUACAAACAAAGACUUUGCUCUGGCUAAAGUAAGAGCUGGGCUCUGACAAUAGUCUAGGAGCCUGUA